rnacentral:tRNA from 1 species
GGGGAUAUAUUUAUAACUGGUAAUAAGGCGAUUUUGCAUAUUGUCAUUCCGGGUUCAAAUCCUGGUAUCUCCA